UACGAAGGGGGCUAGCGUUGUUCGGAUUUACUGGGCGUAAAGCGCACGUAGGCGGAUCGAUCAGUCAGGGGUGAAAUCCCAGGGCUCAACCCUGGAACUGCCUUUGAUACUGUCGAUCUGGAGUAUGGAAGAGGUGAGUGGAAUUCCGAGUGUAGAGGUGAAAUGCGUAGAUAUUGGAAGGAACACCAGUGGCGCAAGCGGCUAUCUGGACGAGUAUUGACGCUGAGGCACGAAAGCGUGGGGAUCAAACAGG
rnacentral:rRNA from 1 species